UAUGUGAUCGUCUCUCGCAUAUCAAUAAGCGGAGGAAAAGAAACUAACAAGGAUUCCCUUAGUAACGGCGAGUGAAGCGGGAAGAGCUCAAAUUUGAAAUCUUCAAGGUUUUACCUUGACGAAUUGUAGUUUAAAGAAGUGUUUUCUGUUGAAGUUUUGGUAAAAGCUCUUUGGAAUAGGACAUCAUAGAGGGUGAGAAUCCCGUAUUUGACCAUUAUUUUCAGCUGUGUGAUACACUUUCAAAGAGUCGGAUUGUUUGGGAAUGCAGUCCAAAAUGGGUGGUAAAUUUCAUCUAAAGCUAAAUAUUGGCGAGAGACCGAUAGCGAACAAGUACCGUGAGGGAAAGAUGAAAAGAACUUUGAAAGGAGAGUUAAACAGUACGUGAAAUUGUCAAAAGGGAAGCGUUUGACACCAGUGUUGUUUUCUCGAAAAUCAAUUAAAAAGAGUUAGAUUUUGUUGUGUAUUGACCUUAACAGCUUGCAUUUCAAUUUUCUUGCUUUUUUUAAUGCACUUUUCGUUUAACAAGUCAACAUCAGUUUCUUUUGUUGUAAAAAGGUCAUUGGAAGGUGGCUUUCUUUUCGGAGAAAGUGUUUAUAGCCUUUGACUCCUGCAAUCGGAGAGACUGAGGUCUGCAGCGUAGAUCCUUCGGGGUUAGAUACAUUUGUGCUAAGUUAUAGCUUUUUAUAGACAACUUAUUGACUAUGAUUAGUCUUGUAGCUUACUCGCUUAUGCUAUUUUACCUACGCUUAGGAUGUUGAAGAUGUAGCACAUCAU
rnacentral:rRNA from 1 species